GGGCCUGGUGUAGUGGUAGCGCGCUGGUCUCCAAAGCCAGUAGGCAGGGUUCGAUUCCCUGGGUCCC